UAUAGAGAGAGUACCAGGUAAUAACAUGGCUAUAUAUAUAUAGAGAGAGAGAGUACCAGGUAAUAACAUGGCUAUAUGCAGGGAGUACCAGGUAAUAACAUGGCUAUAUGCAGGGAGUACCAGGUAAUAACAUGGCUAUAUACAGGGAGUACCAGGUAAUAACAUGGCUAUAUACAGGGAGUACCAGGUAAUAACAUGGCUAUAUGCAGGGAGUACCAGGUAAUAACAUGGCUAUAUGCAGGGAGUACCAGGUAAUAACAUGCCUAUAUACAGGGAGUACCAGGUAAUUACAUGCCUAUAUACAGGGAGCACCAGGUAAUAGCAUGCAUGUAUACAGGGAAUACCAGGUAAUAACAGGGUUAUAUGCAGGGAGUACCAGGUAAUAGCAUGCCUAUAUACAGGGAGUACCAGGUAAUAACAUGGUUAUAUGCAGGGAGUACUAGGUAAUAGCAUGCCUAUAUACAGGGAGUACCAGGUAAUAACAUGGCUAUAUAUAUAUAUAUAUAUAGGGAGUACCAGGUAAUAACAUGGUUAUAUGCAGGGAGUACCAGGUAAUAACAUGCCUAUAUACAGGGAGUACCAGGUGAUAACAUGGCUAUAUGCAGGGAGUACCAGGUAAUAGCACGGUUAUAUACAGAGAGUACCAGGUUAUAGCAUGGUUAUAUACAGGGAAUACCAGGUAAUAGCAUGCCUAUACACAGGGAGUACCAGGUACUAACAUGGCUAUAUAGGGGGCGGCAGGUAGCCUAGUGGUUAGAGCUGGAAUCCCCGAGCUGACAAGGUAAAAAUCUGUCAUUCUGUCCCUGAACAAGGCAGUUAACCCACUGUUCCCCGAUAGGCCGUCAUUGUAAAUAACAAUUUGUUCUUAACUGACUUGCCUGGUUAAAUAAAAGGUUCAAUUUAAAAUGUAAAAAAAUUAUAUACAGGGAGUACCAGGUAAUAACAGGGUUAUAUACAGGGAGUACCAGGUAAUAACAGGGCUAUAAGGAGUACCAGGUAAUAACAUGGCUAUAUAUAUAGGGAGUACCAGGUAAUAACAUGGCUAUAUAUAUAGGGAGUACCAGGUAAUACCAUGGUUAUAUAUAUAGGGAGUACCAGGUAAUAACAUGGCUAUAUACAGGGAGUACCAGGUAAUAACAUGGCUAUAUACAGGGAGUACCAGGUAAUAACAUGGCUAUAUGCAGGGAGUACCAGGUAAUAACAUGGCUAUAUAUAGGGAGUACCAGGUAAUAACAUGGCUAUAUACAGGGAGUACCAGGUAAUAACAUGGCUAUAUACAGGGAGUACCAGGUAAUAACAUGGCUAUAUACAGGGAGUACCAGGUAAUAACAGGGCUAUAUAUAGGGAGUACCAGGUAAUAACAGGGCUAUAUACAGGGAGUACCAGGUAAUAACAGGGCUAUAUACAGGGAGUACCAGGUAACAGGAUAGAUAAUAAGCAGCAGUGGGUAGCCAUUUGAUUAACUACUUAUCAGUCUUAUUACUUGUCCUGUCC
rnacentral:lncRNA from 1 species